UACGUAGGGGGCAAGCGUUGUCCGGAAUCAUUGGGCGUAAAGCGCGUGUAGGCGGCUUGGCAAGUCAGAUGUGAAAGCCCUCGGCUUAACCGAGGAAGUGCGUCUGAAACUGCUGAGCUUGAGUGUCGGAGAGGAUGGCGGAAUUCCGCAAGUAGAGGUGAAAUUCGUAGAUAUGCGGAGGAACACCGGUGGCGAAGGCGGUUCUCUGGGCAUUACCUGACGCUGAGGAGCGAAAGUGUGGGGAGCGAACAGG
rnacentral:rRNA from 1 species